ACUGAACGCUGGCGGCAUGCCUUACACAUGCAAGUCGAACGGCAGCACGGGAGCAAUCCUGGUGGCGAGUGGCGAACGGGUGAGUAAUAUAUCGGAACGUGCCCAGUCGUGGGGAUAACGUAGCGAAAGCUACGCUAAUACCGCAUACGAUCUAUGGAUGAAAGCGGGGGGAUCGCAAGACCUCGCGCGAUUGGAGCGGCCGAUAUCAGAUUAGGUAGUUGGUGAGGUAAAGGCUCACCAAGCCGACGAUCUGUAGCUGGUCUGAGAGGACGACCAGCCACACUGGGACUGAGACACGGCCCAGACUCCUACGGGAGGCAGCAGUGGGGAAUUUUGGACAAUGGGCGGCAAGCCUGAUCCAGCCAUGCCGCGUGCAGGAUGACGGUCCUAUGGAUUGUAAACUAGCUUUUAUACAGAAGAAACACUCCGACGUGUCGGAGCUUGACGGUACUGUAAGAAUAAGGAUACGGCUAACUCCG
rnacentral:rRNA from 1 species